AUUGAACGCUGGCGGCAGGCCUAACACAUGCAAGUCGAACGAGUGGCGGACGGGUGAGUAAUGUCUGGGAAACUGCCUGAUGGAGGGGGAUAACUACUGGAAACGGUAGCUAAUACCGCAUACCAUCGGAUGUGCCCAGAUGGGAUUAGCUAGUAGGUGGGGUAAAGGCGCACCUAGGCGACGAUCCCUAGCUGGUCUGAGAGGAUGACCAGCCACCGUGGUACUGAGACACGGUACAGACGCCUACGGGAGGCAGCAGUGGGGAAUAUUGCACAAUGGUCGCUAUCCUAAUGCAGCCAUGCCGCGUGUAUGAAGAAGGCCUUCGGGUUGUAAAGUACUUUCAGCGGGGAGGCGUUACCCGCAGAAGAAGCACCGGCUAACUCCGUGCCAGCAGCCGCGGUAAUUC
rnacentral:rRNA from 1 species